rnacentral:sRNA from 1 species
ACCUAAGGAACGCAGGCUAAGAGCGUCACGUCCUGUGGCAGCGUCUGCAUGACCCGCAUCCUCCCAAAAGCUGC